rnacentral:rRNA from 1 species
AGAACGAACGCUGGCGGCAGGCCUAACACAUGCAAGUCGAACGCCCUAGCAAUAGGGAGUGGCGCACGGGUGAGUAACGCGUGGGAAUGUACCAUUUAGUGGGGGAUAACUUCGGGAAACUGAAGCUAAUACCGCAUACGCCCGAGAGGGGAAAGAUUUAUCGCUAAAUGAUCAGCCCGCGUGAGAUUAGGUAGUUGGUGGGGUAAUGGCCUACCAAGCCUACGAUCUCUAGCUGGUCUGAGAGGAUGAUCAGCCACACUGGAACUGAGACACGGUCCAGACUCCUACGGGAGGCAGCAGUGGGGAAUAUUGGACAAUGGGCGAAAGCCUGAUCCAGCCAUGCCGCGUGAGUGAUGAAGGCUCGUAGGGUUGUAAAGCUCUUUCGCCGAUGAAGAUAAUGACGGUAGUCGGAGAAGACGCCCCGGCUAACUUCGUGCCAGCAGCCGC